CCCUUAGAUGCUCUGGGCCGCACGCGCGCUACACUGGUCGAUGCAACGAGUUUCUUUCCUUGGCCGACAGGCCUGGGCAAUCUUUGAACAUCGAUCGUGAUCGGGAUAGAUUCUUGUAAUUUUUGAUCUUAAACGAGGAAUUCCUAGUAAACGCAAGUCAUCAGCUUGCAUUGAUUACGUCCCUGCCCUUUGUACACACCGCCCGUCGCACCUACCGAUUGAAUGGUCCGGUGAAAUCUCCGGACUGGCGUGAGUCGGAGCAAUCUGACAAACACCGGAAAGUUGAUUAAACCUUACCAUUUAGAGGAAGGUGAANUCGUAGCA
rnacentral:rRNA from 1 species